rfam:Ovis aries breed Texel chromosome 3, whole genome shotgun sequence.
UCCCUGGUGGUCCAGUGGUUAGGAUUCAGUGCUUCCACUGCCGAGGGUCAGGGUUCAACCCCUGGUUGGGGAA